GAUGAAGAACGCAGCGAAAUGCGAUAAGUAGUGUGAAUUGCAGAAUUCAGUGAAUCAUCGAAUCUUUGAACGCACAUUGCGCCCCUUGGUAUUCCAUGGGGCAUGCCUGUUCGAGCGUCAUUUGUACCUUCAAGCUCUGCUUGGUGUUGGGUGUUUGUCUCGCCUCUGCGCGUAGACUCGCCUCAAAACAAUUGGCAGCCGGCGUAUUGAUUUCGGAGCGCAGUACAUCUCGCGCUUUGCACUCAUAGCGACGACGUCCAAAAGUACAUUUUUACACUCUUGACCUCGGAUCAGGUAGGGAUACCCGCUGAACUUAAGCAUAUCAAUAAGCGGAGGA
rnacentral:misc_RNA from 1 species